CUCUGACACAUACACACGGGCCUGGCCCUCCAGUCUCCAGAGACACUCAGUCCACAUCCCCACAGCAUGGAGUGGAGGUGGAGGCUCCUUCUCCUGCUGGCAGUGGCCCCAGGAACCUACUCCCAGGUGCAGCUGGUACAAUCUAGUCCUGAGCUGAAGAAGCCUGGAGAGGCCAUGAAGAUCUCCUGCAAGGCUUCUGGAUACACUUUCACAAGUUAUGGUAUUAACUGGAUGUGGCAGGAGCCAAGAGGUGGCCUACAGUGGAUGGGGUGGAUCAACACUAACACUGGAAAUCCAACCUAUGCUGAGGGCUUCAAAGGACGAUUCAUCUUCUCCCUGAGACCUCUGUCAGCACAGCACAUCUGCAGAUCAGCAGCCUGAAGGC